UACGUAGGGGGCAAGCGUUGUCCGGAUUUAUUGGGCGUAAAGAGCGUGUAGGCGGCUUUACAGGUCCGUUGUGAAAACUCGAGGCUCAACCUCGAGACGCCGGUGGAAACCGUAAAGCUAGAGUCCGGAAGAGGCGAGUGGAACUCCUGGUGUAGCGGUGGAAUGCGCAGAUAUCAGGAAGAACACCAACGGCGAAGGCAGCUCGCUGGGACGGAACUGACGCUGAGGCGCGAAAGCGUGGGGAGCGAACAGG
rnacentral:rRNA from 1 species